UACGUAGGGUGCGAGCGUUAAUCGGAAUUACUGGGCGUAAAGCGUGCGCAGGCGGUUCUGCAAGUCAGAUGUGAAAUCCCCGGGCUUAACCUGGGAACUGCGUUUGAAACUACGGAGCUAGAGUGCGGCAGAGGGGGGUGGAAUUCCACGUGUAGCAGUGAAAUGCGUAGAUAUGUGGAGGAACACCGAUGGCGAAGGCAGCCCCCUGGGCCGACACUGGCGCUCAGGCACGAAAGCGUGGGGAGCAAACAGG
rnacentral:rRNA from 1 species